UCAAGCUUGAGCCGGGGGAAGGAAAUUAGAAUCAAAUCGGCUUCUAGUGUCUGCGGGAAAUCAAUGGGAGGAUUUAUGGCCGGUGAGGACAGCUGGGAUAGAAAUGCAGUGCAGUUUGUGGGAGGCAGAGAGCCCUCGUUGGGCCCUGCCUCACACACUUAGCACUCUGCCGAGCAGAUCUUCUCUAGUGGAGACGGGUCCCAUGACACCCUGCCUUCCUUCUACUGCUGACCCCAUCCUUGGCUUUCUCUUACUCCCUAGGGAUGAGAGAGUCCAGUUCCUCCAGAACAUGCUCAUGGGUGGCAAGGCAGCUCCAUCUGUUUGUUGUUUCAAGAAGAUAGAUGAUUAUGCUGGAGAUACUUUUCCGUAAACCUACCCCACUGCCACAGAGAGCAUCAGGCAGCCAAGUGGAAGCAUGUGGGCUGGAGAUAAACACCCUCCAGUCAACUGGAGUCCCACAGCAGUAGACAAGCAGCAGCAGAUUUGAGGCCUUCCAAGUCAGAUUCCCAGUGGAGAAGAGAUCUGGUUCAUUCUACAUGCUUUUUGUUCACACACCUCUGCACCAGUCCUGGCACACGCAUGGUCAAAACAGCAUGCAAGAUGAGAAUGAGUGGGCCUGUGAGAAUGAAAUCAAGGACAGAUUUAACAACUCAUAGGAAGAGUUAAAGGUAGGUAAAAAGAUCCCCUUACCUCUCCUUAUGGCUUUUAUUUCACCACAUCUAUUCUGCCGUCCUCAGGACGGUCCCUGCAUUUAUAAGACACCAAGGCAGCCUUUUGGGAUGGAGCGAAACUCUAAUCUGGCAUGUUGCCAACAUGCUGCCACUGCUGGUUUUGUGAGGAACCUGCUUUGCAUUAUUUGGGAAUGUGUGUUCUCCUCCACAUAUGGCAGACAGAUUGUGCCUGGGGGUAGGAUGGAGGAGCAGUCUGUGCUACUCCAGCGUCUGACCCAUGUUGCCCCAUUUUCCUCUGGUGUAAACAGGUAAUCGCAUCAGGGUGGUUGUGGGUAGGGGGAGGGAAUAACAGAGCCAUAGCUGAGGCCCUUCUUCCUUUGAUCCCAGAUCACUUCCUGGGGGUCCUUAACCUGGGUGCUAGGACAUAAGACAUCCUAAUGGGUUCCUAAAAAAAAAAAAAAAGGGAGGGGGGUACAUUUUAGCUGGUACCAUUGCUCCCAGAGGUGUCCCACAGAUGCUUGAUGUGGCUGGAUUGGUACAUUUGUCAGUGCUGCAGUACUGGAAGGGACCGACAUGGACACUGCAGUGAGAUCUGUGAGCUGGGGGACAUGACAGCAAGGAAGGAAAAAGUGGGCAAGUUUUUUUGUUUUUGCAAACCCCCUCCUAUAAGGGGCGCUACCAACUGUCACAGUUUUAUUGCAACUCUUCUGGGAUAUAGGUUUCUUCUUAAAGUCCCAGCACCUGGAGUCCUCUUAGUUUGAAAACAUCUCCACUUUUAUUUAUAGCAUAAGGAAGUUUUUCUCCACAAAUAGGGGAUAGAAGUUUGUGAACACAUUCCACGUGCCCUUGAAAGGUGCAAAAACCAGAAGGCAGAUAAAAAGACCUGUUAAUGCAUUCUUUUCUUAAUGUGUUCCCCGUCCCCCUGAUUGACUCCUGGGUUUUGAAUGCACAGAGGUAUCAUAAAGCCCAGACAAGGGGGACUGUUUACUCAAUAUCCCACCUCAUUCACUGUGCUCCAUCCCCCCCUCCCAAAUUUCUAGGUAUGUACUUAGAUGGCCCUCAUCUGUGUACUACACAGUUAUUUAAUGUGUGGUAUCUCCCCAUGCAGUAGACAAGUGUUACCUCCAUUUUUACAGAAGGGCACUGAGUUCCAUGGUGGAUGAGGUGACUUGUCUAAUGUUAUAUAAUCUACAGCUGAGUCAGGACCUUGAGUCAUAUUUUACUGAUCCCUGUACUAUCCUCUAUCCUGGGGCACAUCCAGCUGUUGGCAGCUCCAGGCCCCUGCAGCUGCAGAUGUGCCUUGUGAAGCCAUGCUAGGGAGGGCUGCAGCGAGUCCUCUCAGGAAAGGGAGAUUGAAUAAGGCUGCUUUUUCAGGUGCUGAAAGGGAGGACCUGCCCACCGCCACUGUCCCUGGCUGAGCCUGGCAUCCCGUACACCUGCUUGCAGCAGCUGCCAGUAGGAGUGGCUCUAGGGCUUCCCCAACCCUUGGUCAGCUGAGGACAACUGCAGCAGCAGGUAGAUUCUCCCCUUUCUACACCUAGAAGCAAACCAAGCUGGGAGGGGAAGGGAAGGAGUGCCCAGAGCUGGGUGCGGAGUUGAAGCUGGGGAGAGAGAGUCCUGCCAGAAGCUGCUGUGGCACGAUCUGCCCAUGGGAAUCAGUAGCUAUAGCCACCCAUGCACCUCACCUGCCUCCCCUCCUUUUUGAAAUCCAAGAUCUGCCUAUGCCUCUAUCCUCUGAGACGAGCAGCUGGGUUUCUGGUUUGGGCUCAUCUCUGUCACCAACACCACAAGCCUGAGCUAGCUGGGGUUCAGGAUGAAUGGUGUUCUGGGCAAGGGUGCUGGGAGACUAGAGUAGGGGCAGGUACAUAUUAGGUGGUAACAGGAGUUCAGGCAUGGCAGUCUAAAGGGAACAGUGCAGGGAGCAGUAUUGAGGGCUGUGGCGAAAUCCUGACCUGACUGAUGUUAGCGGGAGUUUUGACAUUAAUUUGAAUUGGGCUAAAGUUUCAUCUGUGGUGUUUGUCCACUGGGGGAAAAGAAGUGGGUAGUGAACAGAAGCAGGGCUCAGGGAAACUAGAGACAGCCUCUGGGCUGGUAAAGAAGGGAGCACAUGAAUGAGACACAUUUAGAGGUCCACAAAACAACAUGA